AAGAUUUUAAGUUAAAAAAACUGUGGGCCUUCAAAGCCUGAAAUAAAAAAUAAUUUUUAAAUCUUG
rnacentral:tRNA from 1 species